GAAAGUAAAGAUAUUCUAAAACAAGAAUAUUCUUUCUUUCUGUGUACACUUUCCCCAAAAAAUUCAGAAAUUACUCUUACUUUCGUUGUACGUAGUACGCUGCAAAACCCUUUAAAAUUUUUCUUAACAUCCCCGCAGCAACACCUUGAAAUAUGAAAAGAAUAUAUAUUACAAAAUGAAUAUUAAUAUUUGCGAUAAAGCAAUUCUCGCGAUAGAAAUUAAGCGUUAAAAUUCAGUGGGCGUUUUUAAACGUGAAGGUUUUUCAUCUAAAAAGAGCGCUUUAUCUUUGCAAUGUUUAAGAAAGAUUUUUGCGUAUCAUUUUAUUUAGAGGAGCUAACACGUGUUAGCUGCUGUUGUUUAUAUGGCGUUGUUGUGCAGGCCACAUUCGCCUUGGAGGUCGCAAGGAUUAGCUCUCCGUGAGAAACUGUAUUCCGCGCGACCAUAAAUAGCCGAUGAUAAAACAGCACCGCCGCUGCCACGGUAUCAUAACACGCACCAUAAAAUUAGAUAUCUGCUUCAUUAAUGAUGCGCGCCAAAAGGUCAGAGGGAGCCAGUUUGAACCCCCUUCAGAAAUGUCAAUUUGCGUUGUACCCGGCGACACACCGUGCAACCUCGCGUGGACCGCGACUCUCUUUUUCUUCCCCCGUAAGGCGGACAUAAUUAUUCAUCAUUUUUCUCAUUUUAACGUUGAAGCAUAAAAAUUCUCGAACAAAAAUAUAACAGGCGCGCGAGAGACAACGACGUUCUCUUCUCGACAAGCCGAAAGAAAGGGUUUGACAAGAGCACUCUCGCGGGGAAGAAAGUGUCGUGGCCUCCUUGGAAAAAUAUCUCGAAAAUUAUCGGACUUGAUUACUUCUCUUUCCCCCCCCCCCCGCUAUUUCUCUCGGGGGCGGUAUCUCCUCGGGCGUGGGAUAUUUUUCUGGCAACGCUGCAAUUUUUAUCCCGCGCUUCUGUGAACGACGGCGGCUCGAGCGACCACGAAGAAGCCACGAAGCCGCGACGUUCCAGGAAUACAUGUGCCUGUGGCCGCCUCCAUCGGCGCGCAUCCGCUCGCCAAACUGCGCGCCGACGUAAUCGGCUUCUUCUUCUCCUUCUUAUCGGAGUAUUUUUUUUUCUCGUGUCACGUUUGCACCCGAACGUGCCGUGCGGACUUGCACGCACGCACGCACGCACGCACGCAUCAACCGGCGGCGCGCCGUUUCUCACGAACGGCAGAGCCGGACCCUCGGCGCGACCACGAUAACGCGGCCGCGAUAACGCGAAUCGACGGAAACGUGAGUUUCCGAUACAGAUCGCACACGUUUGCCGGUCUCGUGUUUCGGCGCGGCGCGGUAUUCGGGACCCUAGAAGAAUUCCCCGCGGUGGUUGGGGUCACGCGCGACUCGAAACGUGACCGCUUCCGCGGCCAGGGCUUCUUUCCCUUUCGGUCAAUUGUAUCAAUCACGUUGGAAAUCAGCCGGUGCAGUGUUCGCUCACGUACGCACGCAAGUACGUUGACACGCACGCCGACGGGGGAAACGUUGAUACGUCUAUGAAGGGCACGUACGGAUCGGAACAAUUGAGAUGUCUCCCGCAAAUUCUUAAUCCGGAAAUUGUUGUUAACUAAUCAGUUAAUUAUUUAAAAAAAGGGAGGAAUCGAGGAAAUUAAAUACAUCGAAAAAACACAUUGAGCAGUUUACGACAGUUUAAAAAAAAUGAAGAUAUCAAUAAUAAAAUGCUAUAAACUGUCAAUUUCCAAAUCACACAUUAAAUCUUUGAUUAUGCAAGAUUAGACAUCAAAAAGGCAAUCCCUUCCACAUCGUUGUCCUAAAAGCAGAAUCUUUUACAUGAUUAUUAAAAUUUACUUAAAUAUACUGUUACAUUAUUAAUAUGAAAUCUUCUUAAUUUCUUUCACUGAAUUUUUAGCAUUGUCAGGAAUGGAAAAAGACACUGAAGAUUAAGUUGUGAAAUACGAUAGAGCAUAUCGUUAUAUGUUUUAAAAGCUACUCUCUUGAACGAGCUAUCUGUAAAGAAACAGAACACCCGAUCUUGUGACUUGAAUGGUAUUCCAAUAUUGCAUGGUUAGCAUAUCAAGUUGUGUAAUUCAUAAACAGAUAAAAUCUACUUUCAGUUAAUAUCAAAUAACUUUAAUAGAUUUAAUUUCAACGAAUAGCAUUUGAUAUCCAAAACUGCAAAAGUUGCAACGCGUGGAAUGAACUUUUGAUCAAUUCACCAAGCAUGAAAUUCGACUUCAAAUUAAAAGUCACAUUUUUUGUUACUAUUCAAAUUGAUUCAAGUGUAACAACCACUGUGCAAAUACGUUUCACGGUAUAAUAAAAAAUUAAAAAAAUGUUAUAUAAACACAAGAAUGGCGUUUUGCGAUAAAACUGCAACAUUCAUACGGAAAAAAAACAAAUACGCUCUAUUAUUCCUUUUUUAAAAUAUAUUUCAGAUUUCUAUUAUAAACUUUUGAAUAAAACUUUUGUUAUUUUUUUUUUUUUUACUUUUUGUAUCUCUGUAGAAUGUACUGACUGAUUUUAGUCAUUAAAACCUGAAUAUCUUCUUGUCUGUAAUAUAAUAUUUAUAGAUAUACAGGAUGCACCAAAGGUCAGAUCGCAUAAAUAUAACAGACGUAACUCAUAAGCACCAUCUCUCUGACGUUGUUAAUUCAGAUGUCACGAUACAGUCUGAAAAGAAAGCUAAUUAAUAAUGUAUAUCGUGACUGCCUGCGGGGCUUGAUUCUUUUUUUUUCUUACAUACACUCACGCGAGCGCGUGCACGAUUUUCAUACGCACGCACAUUUCUCCGAUAAACUUUCAUUAUCUUUUCCACCAGCGUUACAAUUAUUUUUCUAUCCGCUCGCGAAAAAGUGAUAUAUCGCCUCGCUUGUCGUUCGUCCGGCGUGUGCGAGAGAGAUCUAUUUUUGCUCUCGCGCGAUAAAGUCCGCGCGGGGCAGCAGGUUAAAGAUUCUUGCGUAAACUUCUGCGUCCGCGAUCGCGAGGAUAUUAUCUCGCGCGACGGCGAAAAGAAUUCGCGGGUGUUGUGACAGCGCGCAGCGCGACGGCCGAUCAUCGUCGUCCGGCUUUGUUUACGUCUCGUCGCGGGACGUGACGGCCCGUCCGUCGUUAUCGUCGCGUACCCGGGGGAAAACCGGUUCGCCGUUGGAUUUAAUCGGUUUCGGUAUCAGCUCUGCCGCUGGGGGAGUUCAAAAAGGCGACUCGCGAUUAACUUGUACCGGGUCACUCGCCGAGUAGCCGUUCGUAGCCAGUUAAACCGAGGCCCCUCGCGCCGUUUUUUCUGACAUUCUUUAGAACUCGCGCGCGCGCGCGCGCACGUGACGCGCGAUAAGGAGACGCCCGUGUCACGGGCCAACGGGCCUGUUGAAGAACGCUCUAUUACGCCGCGCGAUAUUCUCGUCUCAAUUGGAACAGUUUUGUCUCGCGCGCCUCCGCCUCACCCUUUUAUUCUUCCUCGCGGGAGAGGACAAACAGUCGCAUUAGGAUUUGAUUGCUGCGAUGUCUAAAAAUUUUACAGACACGAGAGAUACUGGUUUUUGUAAAUUUUAAUACUCUGUACAGACGAUUGGACAAAAGUAUCCAGCGCAUUUCUUUUCUUGGAGUAUUACAGACACUAAAUACUUAGGCUUGAUGUGUUGAGAGUCUCAGUUCGUACAUACAUGUCCUCUCUUCAAGAUAUUUUGGAAAAUUGGCUUAGGACAUAAAUGACCUAUCCUAUAUAGGAGAUUGCUGUACUUAUAAACUUUUAAUAUUUUUAUUUUUAACUAAUUUUCUCUAUAUAUAUAAAGAAUUUUUAGAAAGUAAAAAAAUUAAAAUUUAAAUAAUUUUGAACUGAAAUGCGCGAAACAUCGAUAUCAUAUUGCAUCAAAUGUAUAAAUAUUAAAAAAAUUUUCUUGUAGUAAUUAUUUUAAAGUUUUAUAACGCUAUAGUAAUAAAAUGGAUUAUUUAAAAUGUAAAUGAUAUAUAUGCCUUCAUUUUAUAUUCAUUUAUAUCAAUAUAUCCAUUCAUACAUAUUAAAAUAUACAUUGUCAGAUUAUAAUUAUAUAACUCAACUUUGAAUAAUUAUCUGAACUAUUUUUUCUUUUACUGGCAACUUGAAAUGUCAAUUUUAGACAUAAAAGUAUUUGUUCUCAAGUCACUUUUGUUUCAAAAUUAUGAAUUUUUACAUGGAAGCAUGCAUUUUUCUGAUUUUUCUUUUUUAUCAAUUAUAAUUAGUUAUAAUAUGUAUAUACAAUUUUUUAAAAUUAUAUGUAUAUACAACAAUCAUACUAAUACUAUUUGAAGGUGUUAAAACGUAAGAAUCAGAGAUCUUUUUUAUACUUGUAAAAGCGAUGAAAAUUAAUUUUAUGCGAAUCCAGUCGUACAUAGAAAGUGUCUAAAAUUAACGAACAGAAUGUUAACAGAUCAGAUUACCAACAUAAAGAAAAGAUAAAAAGAACAAGAGAUAAUAUUACGAAAA